CACACACAUACAGUAAAUCCAAACCUUCUCAAACCCCAGACACCAAACAUCACUACUCAGACAUCCUUUAACUGCCUGAGACCCCUGACUUGUUCCCUGUGGGCCAGAACCCACUACUGUUUGACUUGUUCCCUGUGGGCAAGAACCCACUACUGUUUGACUUGUUCCCUGUGGGCCAGAACCCACUACUGUUUGACUUGUUCCCUGUGGGCCAGAACCCACUACUGUUUGACUUGUUCCCUGUGGGCCAGAACCCACUACUGUUUGUGUAUCUACAGUGGAUUAUGAUGCUUUAUUCAUGGCAGUGCCAUCCUUUGCAUGUGUGUGGACCACACAGUGAACAAGUGACACCUUGGGCUGUGACAGGCUGCCAUCUGCACACCGUCUCUGUCCUCUUCCCUCUGUUCCCUCUCUACAUGUCUCUACCACUGUCCCCUUCCCUCUGUUCCCCCUCUACAUGUCUCUACGUCUGUCCUCUUCCCUCUGUUCCCUCUCUACAUGUCUCGACCUCUAUCCUCUUCCCUCUGUUCCCCCUCUACAUGUCUCUAACCUCUAUCCUCUUCCCUCUGUUCCCU
rnacentral:lncRNA from 1 species